UACGUAGGGCGCAAGCGUUGUCCGGAAUUAUUGGGCGUAAAGAGCUCGUAGGCGGUUUGUCGCGUCUGCUGUGAAAACCCGAGGCUCAACCUCGGGCCUGCAGUGGGUACGGGCAGACUAGAGUGUGGUAGGGGAGACUGGAAUUCCUGGUGUAGCGGUGGAAUGCGCAGAUAUCAGGAGGAACACCGGUGGCGAAGGCGGGUCUCUGGGCCAUUACUGACGCUGAGGAGCGAAAGCGUGGGGAGCGAACAGG
rnacentral:rRNA from 1 species